rnacentral:ncRNA from 2 species
UUGGCAGGCUGGGGGUGUCCGUGGCGGGUGGCCGUCUUGGGCUGAGAAAGACCCUUACUACCUGAUCCGGUUAAUACCGGCGGAGGGAAGCUGAAACCUUACUGG